UGAUCAGCUGUUUUCGCUCAGUGUGUGUGAUUAUCUUUGUUCCAGUGUCCUUAUGGAAAGUUUACGUUCCUCUGAAUCCAGCUCAAGGAAAAAGAUAAAAUGCUCAAGGUUGAAAGAUCGUGUCAGGAGCUUUUUGACAGACAGUUUCAGAAGACUCCAAUGAGACGUGAAGGAAACUGGACAAGUGAAGUCUCUCUACAACUACUGGCCAGAGAAGUAGUGUCCACUCAUCCUGCAAUUGAAUAGCUAACUUUUCCACGCAAUAAAAAAAACAAAGUUUCAGAGUUUAA